GAUGAACGCUAGCUACAGGCUUAACACAUGCAAGUCGAGGGACCGGCGCACGGGUGAGUAACACGUAUCCAACCUGCCCUUUACUCGGGGAUAGCCUUUCGAAAGAAAGAUUAAUACCCGAUGUAAAGGAUGGGGAUGCGUUCCAUUAGGUUGAUUGUGAGGUAACGGCUCACCAAGCCUUCGAUGGUUAGUGGUUCUGAGAGGAAGGUCAACCACAUUGAAACUGGGACACGAGCCAAACACCUACGGGAGGCAGCAGUGAUGAAUAUUGGUCAAUGGGCGUUAGCCUGAGCCAGCCAAGUAGCGUGAAGGAUGAAGGCUUAUGGGUCGUAAACUUCUUUUAUAUAAGAAUAUGUAUUAUAUGAAUAAGGAUCGGCUAACUCCGUGCCAGCAGCCGCGGUAAUAC
rnacentral:rRNA from 1 species